rnacentral:lncRNA from 1 species
UGUCAUUCUAAGCCACAUCCUUAUCACUUAUGAGUAAAAUGUAUACGAAGGUUUUGGUCUUCUCUGAUUACAAUUGGUUUGUUACAGGCAGAAAUUAAGGAAAUGCAGAAAAACAAGGUAUAAUCUGUUUUGCAUAUGAAUCUCUUCCAAUAGAGAAUUAUUUUCACAGUUUGAAAGGAAAAUAAGCAUUAUUUAUUUGUUUAUCUUAGCAGGAUUCGGACCCUGCAUGCCACCCAAGGGUAAGUAAAAUACAAUGCUUGAGAAGGACACUUACAGGACCAUGGUAGUGAGUAAUUGUUUCUGAGUAACAGAUAUACGAAGGAGAAAGUCAUUGUUGUGUGAUAAGGACUGGGGUAUGUUUGUGAACUGUGAGGUAAUUGCAGUCCAACACUAGAUAGAGUGGUAGCUAGCUAUUAUUAGUUUUAUGUAUAGGAACUAGGAGUGGUGAGUUGUACAUUAUUAAACAUGUAUCGUCAAAUAAUGAAUUACAUGAGUUAAGUAUUGCUUUCCUUAUUUCUAUUAAUUUUUCUUGAAUUGAUUCUAGUUGAUUGUUCUCUGCUUUGAGUUUUGCAUAUCUGCUUAUUGAGUUUUCUUCAAUUUUUUGGCGUUGUUAAUUUUACUUUUCCUUUGAUGUAUUGAUAUGUUGUAAGCUNCGUUUUGUUUUCAAUCAUUGCUGUCUUGAGUUCUAUUUUGUGAUUUUGCUCAUAAAUUGUUUGUUUAAAUGUCUAAGAGAGCUAAUCUGAAAAUGUUCAUUCUUGAAUCAAGCCUAGCAUUCACGUUCCUCUUUUCAUUUCUUCUUCCUUGCCUAGAAGCCAUCAAAUCCUANGAAUCCAUUGUGCAAUGGGAGGUGAGAGGAAGCAAUUAUGUUUGGAGAGAAAUGGAAUUAUCAGAGUUAAGAAGGGAAUGAGUGGGAGAAGAAGUGGAAAUCACAGAAAGGAAAGGUAAAAAGAGUCUCAGGAGCUAACNAAAAUAGGAGAGGAAAACAAAGGCCAAGGUAUGGGCAAAGGAGUUAAGUAUUGUGCCUUGAUAUUUGAUAGUUCAGAUUUAAGUGUAAUGAAAUAAUGAUAGAUAUUGAAAUAUGGUGUGUGAGUGUUCAGAAAUCUUUUUUUUUNCAUUCCUCCUGAGAAAGUCUGUUGCAUGUAUCAAGUGUGCAAACUGGUUUUAAAAGUUGUUUAAGCAUAACUAUGGUGCAAUUACUGUUAUUAAGGUAUUGCUCAGCGGCUGUUUCUCUUUUUAUUUGUUUUCCNUCGUUAGCAAUUUAUGCAUGGCUACUUUCUUUAAAUAUGAAAGUGCUGGUAUAGAAUUUGUAACUUUGAUUUUCUCUCUGACUAUACCUACUGAUACUUUAACUACAUUGUUUUACCGUUAACUAGGGUGCACUACAGUAGCCAAACUUUGCCUAUUAUAUAAUUUAUGCUUAAAAGAACUGAAACUUCUGUACACGUUGACAUGGUCUAUUAAACAUGGGUAUUGUAAAAUAGAAAAUGCCUCCAUUGGCUGACUUGAUCAUGGAUUAUUUUAUGAGUAGUUACAAAGUGGAUUCUUUUCAUUGUUAAGUAGUGUUCUCUGUUCUUUGCAG